AUCAAGUGGUCGGUGUCCAGCAUGUCUCCUAUCCGGAGGCGGUGAGAAAAGUGGAAGAAAUGAGUGAAGUUGAAGAAAUAAUGAUAUUAGUAGUAGCUAACUGUGGCUAUGGUUUAUAGCAUUUGUGCAUGGUGUACUGGUUUGGUUUUUGCCUGUUUAGAGUUAUCUCUUGGGCUUUGAGCAUGUGCAGGUAUUGGUUAGUUAGCUGUGAGCUAGUGGCUAACUAACUUUUGCCAGUCGAUUUAUUGGUUCUGUUUGGCCUACUGAUUUUGACUAUGCGGCAUUUGAGCCAGCAGUGUGUUUUGUAGAGAUAGUUGGGUUUUUUCUCAAGCUAAUGAGGGAUUGUUAUGUCAGGUGACAGAAAUGCUGGAGGUUGAAAUAGCAGAGGAGUUUAACAAGUUAGACGUUGCAGGGAUGUUUUGGGAGAAGUGGAGUGAGUUCUUGCCGCCGGUUCUGGUGUAUAGGAGGAAGAAGUCUUGUUGGAAAUGGUGUGGCUAGAACAGGAGAUGGCACUGCUGAAACAGCAGAAUAAUUAAAGACUGCAUAUAGGACAGAAAUGUUGUGUUGCCAGUCGGUCAGACAGUCUUGUCACUAAACCAGCUUCCUGCCAGUGAUCAGUGAUGAGCUAGUUUCCUCAAAUGAUCUGGUUUGUGAAACGUCAGGUGUAUUCGGGGCCCGGAGUCUCAAGGAGAGUUUUGAGGUGAGGUAUCCCCAGUUUGUGAAAUUACUCACGUUCAGAAAAGUGCUGAUGGCAAACCAGAUGAGGAAGGAGGAGGAUUUGUGUGGGGACUUGGAGGAAACAUUCCUUGGCCGAACUAGACAGUGGUUCCUAGGAAAUGGUUCUCCCUUGUGAGGAAGGUGAUUUAAUUGUGUGUCUCUAGCUGAGACCUGGGCAGAGUUAUGAUGUAGUGUGCCCUCUGCAGGUUGAGGAUGAGGUUGCUUCAGGUGUCAAUUUGGGGACACGUUCUUUGCCAUGGUAAAGGAGAUUGGUUGUUGAUCAUUGCUGACCAUGAGGUUGUUUGGGUUUCAGGUAUUGAUUUAGCUGACACGUUUCUUACUGAGCUGUGGAAAGGAGAUACCUUCCAGUCAUGUUGUGAGGAUUUUCUGGAAGACGCAGUCUGUGUUUUGCAGGGUGACAUGGCUGUCUAGCGAUGAGAAUCAGGAGCUUGAAGAAUUGAGUUUGAUGGAAAAGCCAGAUCCACCAGUAUUGUCACUCUCAGUAGGUUGUCUGAUGAGUGAGGAGGAUAUGUUCCCUUCCAGUGAGUGCUCGGGGCUGGAGAAAAGGGCUGUUUGGGAAGAUGGAUGAUGUGAGUUGGCUGAAGUUGUGGUCGAUGUUCACUUUUCCCUGGUGGUGUUUGCUCCAAGUCUUUUAACGCUGGCUACAUAUCAGAUGGAGCUUGUUGCUUGUGACCAUGGGCCUAGUGAAGGAAGUUGGUCUCUCAAUUUAGAAGCAGAUGGGUCACAGCUGGUCCCUUUGUUUGUUCAAGUUAGACUAUUUGGCAGGAAGAAAUUUCCUGUGCAGAGCAGUGAAUUUUAUGGUUUGUCUGGUUUUCUAGAAUGUCUAUCUCAGAGUUAAGGUUUUCUGUAGUCAGUUAGUUAGGCAACACUACCAGGAUACACUUCCACACUCCAUCCCUGAGGUGGCAACACCAACCGGGUCAAAGGCUGUGCUCUGCCAGGAAGCCUUGAUAAGCACAUCAGGUGCUGUCAAUUAGGGUUCAGCAUGGCGAGCCAUGAGGCUGUUGGUUUGUUUGCUGACCAUGUUUUGGUUUUGAAAAUUUCAUUUGGGCGUGCCUGUGUGUGGUUUCUUUUUUGAAUAUAUUUAUUUCCAUCACCACCAACUGAGCAACAGUAAUCCAUUUGUGCUGGCCGACCAUGACGUCAAGAGAGGAAGAGCUGGACCACGGUUAACAUUGAGAGCCAAGGUUGUGCGCCUGAGAAGCUAGUGGGUGACCUUCCAGAGUCUGAUCCAGACACAGGGAAGAAGGCCAGCAGAUCUGCAGCACACGUCAUAGGCCGGAUCGAGAAGGAUGUUUCCCAGAAUACCUUGCGUUGGGAGCCCAAGGCAGGGCGGGCCUUCACUGAGGGAGGCGUGGUCUAUCGGGAUGGUGGUCUGCAGGUCAACGAGACUGGGCUCUACCACAUCUACUCCCGGGUGCAAUUUGAGGCCAAUCACUGCACCCCUACAGAUGCCUUGGUUCACUCUGUGUUUGUGAGGAGGCCCUGGAGCUCCAAGCCUCUCACCUUGAUAGAGGCGCACAGGGAGGGCUACUGCAGCUCGGGCUCUAAUGGGCGUGUCUGGACCUCUGGGAGUUACCUGGGCUCCACAUUGCAGCUGGAGAAGCAGGACUGGGUCUAUGUGAACGUCUCCCACCCAUCCAUGCUCAGCCACACUCAUCAUGCCAACUUCUUUGGACUCCACAAGAUCUAGCGAAAAAGGAUUAAAUCUGGAGUUGGUUUCAACUGAUAUUUCACUCAGAGAACCUUAACACUAAAAUGAUGGAGAAAAAAGUAGUAUUUAUUAUGAUAAAGAUCUGACACUGAUUCCAGCUGCAGGUCUGAAUGUAUGUUCAUUAGAACACAAAAAUGUGCAUGUUUGGGAUUUAUAUCCGUCAACAGUGAUCCAGUUUUUUAUAUUCUAAUAAAUGUAUUUAAAAAAUAAA